AGAGUUUGAUCCUGGCUCAGGACGAACGCUGGCGGCGUGCCUAAUACAUGCAAGUCGAGCGGACCUUAAAAAGCUUGCUUUUUAAGGUUAGCGGCGGACGGGUGAGUAACACGUGGGCAACCUGCCCGUAAGACCGGGAUAACUUCGGGAAACCGGAGCUAAUACCGGAUAACACCGAGGACCGCAUGGUCCUUGGUUGAAAGGCGGCUUUGGCUGUCACUUACGGAUGGGCCCGCGGCGCAUUAGCUAGUUGGUGAGGUAACGGCUCACCAAGGCGACGAUGCGUAGCCGACCUGAGAGGGUGAUCGGCCACACUGGGACUGAGACACGGCCCAGACUCCUACGGGAGGCAGCAGUAGGGAAUCUUCCGCAAUGGACGAAAGUCUGACGGAGCAACGCCGCGUGAGCGAAGAAGGUCUUCGGAUUGUAAAGCUCUGUUGUUAGGGAAGAAGAGGUGCCGUUCGAACAGGGCGGUACCGUGACGGUACCUAACGAGAAAGCCACGGCUAACUACGUGCCAGCAGCCGCGGUAAUACGUAGGUGGCAAGCGUUGUCCGGAAUUAUUGGGCGUAAAGCGCGCGCAGGCGGUCUCUUAAGUCUGAUGUGAAAGCCCACGGCUCAACCGUGGAGGGUCAUUGGAAACUGGGAGACUUGAGUGCAGAAGAGGAGAGCGGAAUUCCACGUGUAGCGGUGAAAUGCGUAGAGAUGUGGAGGAACACCAGUGGCGAAGGCGGCUCUCUGGUCUGUAACUGACGCUGAGGCGCGAAAGCGUGGGGAGCAAACAGGAUUAGAUACCCUGGUAGUCCACGCCGUAAACGAUGAGUGCUAAGUGUUAGAGGGUUAUCCCUUUAGUGCUGUAGCUAACGCAUUAAGCACUCCGCCUGGGGGGGGGACGGCAAAGGAGCCAAAAGGAAGUGAGGGGGGCCCGCGCAAGCGGUGAGGCAGGGGGGUUAAGGCGAAGCACCGCGAAGAAGCCUGCCAGGUCUUAACAUGCCCUGACGACCCCAAAAGAUCGGGCGUUCCCCUUGGGGGGACAGAGUGACAGGUGGUGCAUUGGUUGUCGUCAGCUCGUGUCGUGAGAUGUUGGGUUAAGUCCCGCAACGAGCGCAACCCUUGACCUUAGUUGCCAGCAUUAAGUUGGGCACUCUAAGGUGACUGCCGAUGACAAAUCGGAGGAAGGUGGGGAUGACGUCAAAUCAUCAUGCCCCUUAUGACCUGGGCUACACACGUGCUACAAUGGGCGGUACAAAGGGUUGCGAACCCGCGAGGGGGAGCCAAUCCCAAAAAGCCGCUCUCAGUUCGGAUUGCAGGCUGCAACUCGCCUGCAUGAAGCCGGAAUCGCUAGUAAUCGCGGAUCAGCAUGCCGCGGUGAAUACGUUCCCGGGCCUUGUACACACCGCCCGUCACACCACGAGAGUUUGCAACACCCGAAGUCGGUGGGGUAACCCUUACGGGAGCCAGCCGCCGAAGGUGGGGCAGAUGAUUGGGGUGAAGUCGUAA
rnacentral:rRNA from 1 species